AGGGGCGUGGGCUAGCGGUAAGCCACGGGAUUUUGGUUCCCGCUGACGUAGGUUCGAAUCCUACCGCCCCUG
rnacentral:tRNA from 1 species